GGGGACACUUAAGUACAUGAACGUACUCAGCAAAAGUGUUCGCGCCGCAGGGGCCUCUGGGAAGUGUAGUCUCCCCUCCUCACCUCGGUAGUACUUGGGGUCGUUCCGCUGCAGGGCGGCCACGGCCUUGUCGAAGCUCUGGUCCAGACGUUUGACCAGAGCGACCGCCGUGGUUCUCUGGGCCCAGCUCACCGGGUCGCUGUGCGGCCACGUCCGAACGGCCUCCUUCAGCUCGGCUGCGACGCGAAACGACAAGGAGGAGAGGAUCAGGAGCAGAGGAAACACAUCCGGUACAGCGAUGCCGUUACGUCAGGCUCCCCAGAGGAUGGAUCCUUUCCUCCUGCACCGGCAGCAGCUUCAGGACUCUGGUCUGGACUGAAAUGUUGACAUGGACAUUUUCUGCAGACAUGCGUGGUACCCAGAGGAUGGAUCCUGGUAGCUUUGCUAAGCAUGAGGAACCCGACCACCCCGUCCAGGUUGAUGUGCGCGUGCUGCCGCUCCAGGAACGACGCGCCCCGCGAGAGGCUGCUCAGCACGUCAUCGAUCACCUCCGCGCGACACGCGCACAACGCUGCGGCAAACAGAGCCAGCGCGGCGGCCAGCCGGUGCCCCGCGGCCCGCAUCUUCUCCCCGGACAGGAGACAAGGAGACAGGAGGCGGACAAGCUGCGUCCGGUCCGGCGAGGGAGGGGCUUCACGUGACGUCACCGAGGCUGUCUUUUUAUUUCUGGUUCACGGUCCUGUCACGGUUUGGGUCUCGUUUUAUUUUGUAGUUUCACGCCUCUGCGCUCCUGGGUUCACCUCCCGUCCUGCCGUGUCCUGUCAUCCUGUGUCCACCUGUGUCCAAUCACCUGCACCGUCCCUGUGUAUUUAAGCCGCGUGUGUGUGGUUUCUGCAUGAGGGAAUUAUACAUUGUAGUAGUAGUAAUGAUUAUAAUACUAAUAUAUUCUUCAAAUGAUCAAAAUCUAAAAUAAUGACAAAAUAUACAUAUGUUAUUUUAUUAUCUGAUUAAAAGUGAGAAAGCUUUCACGAUUAUUUUGAAUAUUGUGUAAGUUAAUUCCUCUGUGAAGUAAAAACGGGUCAAAUGCACUUUGGUGUCCAUGGAGUUGUUUAAUUUCAAUAUAAAGCAAUAUAUUAUUAUAAUAUAGUUUAAAGUCUAAAGUUAUGGUUUGUUGUGGAUUCAUUCUUUGCAGCCUUAACUAUAUUCCUAUAAAAUGUUUAUCUUGUUGACUUUAUUUGAGUCGUGAUGAGGACCCUCACAGACCAGAAACACACAACACGCUGGAGAUUCAGACCCUUCAAUUCACGGAGAUUUAUUGGAGCAACACACACCCGGAUAAACAAAGCUUGUUUGACAACAAGAGCCCGUUUUUUCCAUUUUAUUCCUAAACAAAGAAACAAAACAUUCCUAAAUGAGUGAAGUUUCAAGUUAUCAGAAUCAGAACCAUUUAUCUGCCAAGAGACACAUUUACAAAGUGCAAGAAAUAUGGAU
ensembl:lncRNA